rnacentral:lncRNA from 12 species
GUAUCCUGAGAAGUGUCCAAAUAGAAUGCUUUCAUCAACCAGGAGUACCCACAUUGGAUUAUUAGAAUAGUUGCUAAAUAUUAGCACUGCUGCUAACAUGGA